rnacentral:rRNA from 1 species
AGCAGCCGCGGUAAUUCCAGCUCCAAUAGCGUAUAUUAAAGUUGUUGCAGUUAAAAAGCUCGUAGUUGAAUUUCGAGACCGGUUUACUGGUCGUGCUUUUGUACGUACUGGUAUUAUUGGUUUCUCCUUUCUGACGAAUCAUAAUGCCAUUAAUUUGGUGUUUUGGGGAAUCAGGACUGUUACUUUGAAAAAAUUAGAGUGUUUAAAGCAGGCUCACGCUUGAAUACAUUAGCAUGGAAUAACGAAAUAGGACGUUUGAUUUUAUUUUGUUGGUUUCUAGGAUCGACGUAAUGAUUAAUAGGGAUAGUUGGGGGCAUUAGUAUUCAAUUGUCAGAGGUGAAAUUCUUGGAUUUAUUGAAGACUAACUACUGCGAAAGCAUUUGCCAAGGAUGUUUUCAUUAAUCAAGAACGAAAGUUAGGGGAUCGAAGACGAUCAGAUACCGUCGUAGUCUUAACCAUAAACUAUGCCGACUAGGGAUCGGAUGAUGUUAAUUUUUUAAUGUACUCAUUCGGCGCCUUA